rnacentral:lncRNA from 10 species
GAAUGUAAAGGCUAUCUGGCUGCGACAUCUGUCACCUCAUUGAUCGCCAGGGUUGACACGGCUGAUCUGGCUGGCUAGGUAGGUGUCCCCUUUCUCCCUCACCGCAGCUUCAGGAGGGAUGCUCCUGGAGCUGUGCUGCCCUGCUAGAACCUCAAAACAAGCUCUCAAGAAAAAAAAAAAAAAAAAAACAUAAUUCUCAAAAGUAUAACUUUUGUGAACACAUCAGAGAGUAGAUGUUAUAGGACAGCUGGGUAUAAAAUAGAAGGAAUGACAGUUAUUCUCAGGGUGAGCCAGGAUGAACACUGGCUCAGCCCUGG